CACAGGACUUCCCCGUUUGCUGUUCGGUAACGGAAGUUUCAACGACUCAUUGGUUGUGACGAAGGUGGAGUCUCCUGGCUGUGUGGCCAGUAAAGGGCUAGAAUAAAGCGGGUUCCGCCUCUUCCUCGGGCGACUGAGUCCUUCCGUUGUCGUCGGUCAGUGCUCUACCUGUUUCUCCAGUGUUCUUCCACAUGCAUGAGAAACUUGGUUAAGGGGGCAGACAGACAUGUAACUAUAUAGUGAGGCUACAAAAGAUUCCAACAAAUAAUAUGAGAGCAGUAAUUAUUGCCCUGGCUAAAUGGAUCAAGUUAAUACCUGGAGAAAUGCCAUACAUUUUCUAUCUUGCAUCACCAUGAAUAAAAAAAUUCUCCUAGAAUCAAAUAACCACUUGGAGUC